GCAUUCAACAUAUCUCUAUCUUGUCUGCAAACUGUGAAAAUCAGGAUGAAACAUCUGUUUGCUGUAGUGUUGGUCGCAUUGGUGUUGGCUGUUGCACAGGCCACCUAUCAGCAUGGAAAGGGUUAUCGUGGUUAUAACAAAUAUGACUACCCAGGCAAGAAGUAUGACUAUGGCAGAUAUGAUUACCCCAACGAGAGGUAUGACUACGGUUACAACAAAUAUGAUUACACCAACGGGAGGUAUGACUAUGGCAGAUAUGACUUCCCCUACCAGAAGUACUACUAGUGUUCUUCAUUGAGGGAAUGUACAUGCUGAAGAAUAUCCGAUGAACAAUAAAUCACCACAGCAUU
rnacentral:lncRNA from 1 species